rnacentral:rRNA from 1 species
AACACAUGCAAGUCGAACGCGAAAGGGGGCAACCCCGAGUAGAGUGGCGCACGGGUGAGUAACACGUGGGUAACCUACCCAGGAGAUUGGGAUAACCAGGGGAAACUCUGGCUAAUACCGGAUAAGCCUCGAGUGACUUCGGUCGCUUUGGGGAAAGGAUGGCCUCUGCUUGCAAGCUAUCGCUCUUGGAUGGGCCCGCGGCCCAUUAGCUAGUUGGUGAGGUAACGGCUCACCAAGGCAAUGAUGGGUAGCUGGUCUGAGAGGAUGAUCAGCCACACUGGGACUGGAACACGGCCCAGACUCCUACGGGAGGCAGCAGUGGGGAAUUUUGCGCAAUGGGAGCAAUCCUGACGCAGCAACGCCGCGUGGGUGAUGAAGGCCCUCGGGUCGUAAAGCCCUGUCGGGUGGGAAGAAUCCCUCGACGGUGAAUAAUCGGCGAGGAUGACGGUACCACUAGAGGAAGCACCGGCUAACUCUGUGCCAGCAGCCGCGGUAAUACAGAGGGUGCAAGCGUUGUUCGGAAUCACUGGGCGUAAAGCGCGUGUAGGCGGCUCGUUGUGUCGAAUGUGAAAGCCCUCGGCUUAACCGAGGAAGUGCGUUCGAAACUGACGAGCUUGAGUACCGGAGAGGAAGGUGGAAUUCCCGGUGUAGAGGUGAAAUUCGUAGAUAUCGGGAGGAACACCAGUGGCGAAAGCGACCUUCUGGACGGAUACUGACGCUGAGACGCGAAAGCGUGGGGAGCAAACAGGAUUAGAUACCCUGGUAGUCCACGCCGUAAACGGUGGGCACUAGGUGUGGCGGGUGUUGACCCCCGCCGUGCCGAAGCUAACGCAUUAAGUGCCCCGCCUGGGGA